rnacentral:rRNA from 1 species
UCAACGGCCGCGGUAUUUUGACCGUGCAAAGGUAGCGCAAUCACUUGUCUUUUAAAUGGAGACCCGUAUGAAUGGCAAGACGAGGGCUUAGCUGUCUCCUUUUUCAAGUCAAUGAAAUUGAUCUUCCCGUGCAGAAGCGGGAAUUCUAACAUAAGACGAGAAGACCCUAUGGAGCUUCAGACACCAAGACAGACCACGUCAAAGCCUCCUAAUUAAAGGGCCGAACUAAAUGAACCCUGUCCUACUGUCUUUGGUUGGGGCGACCACGGGGAAACACAAAACCCCCGCGUGGAAUGGGAGCACCCUCCUACAACUAAGAGCUUCCGCUCUAAUAAACAGAAUUUCUGACCAACAAGAUCCGGCAACGCCGAUCAACGAACCGAGUUACCCUAGGGAUAACAGCGCAAUCCUCUUUUAGAGCCCAUAUCGACAAGAGGGUUUACGACCUCGAUGUUGGAUCAGGACAUCCUAAU